AAGGUGACUGCCGGUGACAAACCGGAGGAAGGUGGGGAUGACGUCAAAUCAUCAUGCCCCUUAUGACCUGGGCUACACACGUGCUACAAUGGACAGAACAAAGGGCAGCGAAACCGCGAGGUUAAGCCAAUCCCACAAAUCUGUUCUCAGUUCGGAUCGCAGUCUGCAACUCG
rnacentral:rRNA from 1 species